rnacentral:rRNA from 1 species
GUCCACGCCGUAAACGUUGAAUACUCGAUCUUAGCGAUACACAGUUAGGAUCCAAGCGAAAGCGUUAAGUAUUCCACCUGGGAAGUACGUUCGCAAGAAUGAAACUCAAAGGAAUUGACGGGGGCCCGCACAAGCGGAGGAGCAUGUGGUUUAAUUCGAUGAUACGCGAGGAACCUUACCUGGGCUUGAAUGUGAGUGACCGAUGCCGAAAGGUGUCUUCCCUUCGGGGCACAAACAAGGUGCUGCAUGGCUGUCGU